rnacentral:piRNA from 1 species
UGUGCAGGCAAACUGGUGGAGACAUGAAC